rnacentral:misc_RNA from 1 species
GAUGAAGAACGUAGCGAAAUGCGGUAAGUAAUGUGAAUUGCAGAAUUCAGUGAAUCAUCGAAUCUUUGAACGCAUCUUGCGCUCCUUGGUAUUCUGAGGAGCAUGCCUGUUUGAGUGUCAUUAAAUUCUCAACUACACUGACUUUGAAUUGGUGUGGCUUGGAUUUGGGGGGAAAAUUGUUGUGGGCUUUUUGUAUAGUCUGCUCCCCUGAAAUUGAUUAGCGGUACCUUUGUGGAACUGUCUACAGGUGUGAUAAUUAUCUACAUCUUAGACAUCUGCUGGAAUGCUGCUCUCUAAACCUUACUUGUAUUGACAAUCUUGACCUCAAAUCAGGUAGGACUACCCGCUGAACUUAAGCAUAUCAAUAAGCGGAGGA